GUGAAAUUGUUGAAAGGGAAGCGCUUGCAGCCAGACGUGCCCGUAGUUGCUCAUCUGGGGUUCUCCCCAGUGCACUCUUCUAUGGGCAGGCCAGCAUCAGUUCGGGCGGUUGGAGAAAGACCUGUGUCACGUAGCUCUCUUCGGAGAGUGUUAUAGGGCAGGUGGAAUGCAACCAGCCUGAACUGAGGUCCGCGCAUCUGCUAGGAUGCUGGCGUAAUGGCUGUAAGCGGCCCGUCUUGAAACACGGACCAAGGAGUCUAACAUCUAUGCGAGUGUUUGGGUGUCAAGCCCGAGCGCGUAAUGAAAGUGAACGGAGGUGGGAACCCCUCGGGGCGCACCAUCGACCGAUCCUGAUGUCUUCGGAUGGAUUUGAGUAAGAGCACAGCUGUUGGGACCCGAAAGAUGGUGAACUAUGCCUGAAUAGGGUGAAGCCAGAGGAAACUCUGGUGGAGGCUCGCAGCGGUUCUGACGUGCAAAUCGAUCGUCAAAUUUGGGCAUAGGGGCGAAAGACUAAUCGAACUAUCUAGUAGCUGGUUCCUGCCGAAGUUUCCCUCAGGAUAGCAGUAACGUUUUCAGUUUUAUGAGGUAAAGCGAAUGAUUAGAGGCCUGGGGGUUGAAACAACCUUCACCUAUUCUCAAACUUUAAAUAUGUAAGAAGUCCUUGUUUCUUAAUUGAACGUGGACAUUUGAAUGUAUCGUUACUAGUGGGCCAUUUUUGGUAAGCAGAACUGGCGAUGCGGGAUGAACCGAACGCGGGGUUAAGGUGCCAGAAUGCACGCUCAUCAGACACCACAAAAGGUGUUGGUUCAUCUAG
rnacentral:rRNA from 1 species